CAUUGCCAUUCAGGGGUCAACGCGGUCCUGUAAUCUUGCCCGGAAAAACGGAGGUAACCACCGAAUGGGAAAGCUUGAACAUCCGCACCCAGCAGGGCUUUUGAAGAACGCGGCCUUCUCACAGGUUGUCGUGGCCUCGGGAGCGCGGACGAUUUACGUCGCCGGCCAGGUCGCACUUGAUGAACAUGGCGUGCUUGUCGGUGCUGGCGAUCUCUCUGCGCAAACAACCCAGGUGAUGAAAAAUAUCGGUCUGGCGCUCGCCGCGGCCAAUGCAAGUUUCGCGGACGUG
rnacentral:misc_RNA from 1 species